GCUGGGUAGCUAUGUCGCUGAGUGAUAAGCGCUGAAAGCAUCUAAGCGCGAAGCACGCCCCAAGAUUAGUAAUCGUUUAGACUCGUGGGAGACUACCACGUUGAUAGGCUCUAGGUGUAAGCGCCGUAAGGCGUUUAGCCGAGGAGUACUAAUAAGUCGAAAUC
rnacentral:rRNA from 1 species